CAAUAGCGUAUAUUAAAGUUGUUGCAGUUAAAAAGCUCGUAGUUGGAUUUCUGCUGAGGACGAUCGGUCCGCCCACUGGGUGAGUAUCUGGCUCGGCCUUGGCAUCUUCUUGGAGAACGUUGCUGCACUUGACUGUGUGGCGCGGUAUCCAGGACUUUUACUUUGAGGAAAUUAGAGUGUUUCAAGCAGGCGCACGCCUUGAAUACAUUAGCAUGGAAUAAUGAGAUAGGACCUUGGUUCUAUUUUGUUGGUUUCUAGAGCUGAGGUAAUGAUUAAUAGGGAUAGUUGGGGGCAUUCGUACUUAACUGUCAGAGGUGAAAUUCUUGGAUUUGUUAAAGAUGGACUACUGCGAAAGCAUUUGCCAAGGAUGUUUUCAUUGA
rnacentral:rRNA from 1 species